rnacentral:tRNA from 1 species
ACUAAAGUAGUUUAGCAAAAUAUCACGCUGUGGCACUGAAGACGCUAGUUAAACUCUAGCCUUAAGUC